UUGACAGAGCAAAAGGCCACAGCAAACAGGAGAGUUGCAAAGAAGCAUGGACCUCCCAUCCUGCCAGGGGCUGACCUCCAUCCUACCCAGGAUAAGCCACAUCCUGUCAAAUGGAUUUCAUGGUAGAUGACAGAGGAUUUUGUCACAUGAAAAGGAUGACUACCACUGUCUUCUUCAAAUGUGCUACUUACAUGCUGGCUUUUGGUCAGUGACAGCCAACAAGAGCAAAUCACAGGCUGGGCAAUAGCACACGCCCUAGUGUGCUUUCGAUUACUGUGAUGGAGCCAAGGAUGAAGUCGAGAACAGCUGUCACAUCCCAGAAUUCUUUGCA